CAUGCGCAUGAAGGCACCGUUGACGUCCAAACGAACGAAGCAGGUUUUGAAUUCAACACAUCGUUGAUGGUGGCAGCAGCAUGAGAGUGCUCUUCUGAUAAACUGCAUUGUGUUGGCUUUAGGCUAUUCCGUGUGCAGUAAUUAGCAUAAUUAGCAUUGCCGACACAGUAGGUCUAGGUCUAUUUCUUCAUUUUAAAGUCAGAAAUGUUAUGACUUAUUGCCUUGUAACUAGCACUAGCAUGGAAACUGAUGAUUAGCAACUUCUCAAGAUCUACAUGCAUGAGACUGCAAUGUGUGCAGCCUAUUGCUAUAACAGGCAACGUUAGAAGUUAAACAUUUGUAUCUGUCUCUGACAUUAACACAACCCUAGUCGGACUUUAUUAAUGAGAACUAAUGAUAUCCGGUGCAUUAUAUUUAUUAUUCUUUGCACCACGUGUGUGCCUCUCGAGCCUUCAGCCGUUCAUCAUUCAUUGGCUGUAUAUGUGUGACAAAUAACUCUUCUAGGUUAUUGAAGACAUACAGUACUUGCUAUGUGAACACCACACUGCAGGGGUUGGUGUUGGAGCCUUCAGCAAGAUCAGGUAGUUAACAAACACACACACACUUACACUUCAUGGAAUUCAGAGGCAUUGAAGUUGGGGUUAGGGCUUGAAGUUGGGGUCAGGGCUUCUUUUUCCCUCUGGUUAACUGAGGACAGACUUGCUAUGUGAACAACGCUGCAAAGCAUUCUUGACCUGCAACACAGGAGGGGUUGGUGUUGGAGCCUUCAGCCCUGCAGAUCAGGUAACUGAGGACAGACCUGCAAUGUGAACAACACACUGCAGUGCAUCUUUGACCUGCAACACAUCUGUAGGUGCAGGAGGGGUUGGUGUUGGAGCCUUCAGCCCUGCAGAUCAGUUACUGAGGAGGACAGACCUGCUAUGUGAACAGCGCUGCAGUGCAUCUUUGACCUGCAACACAUCUGUAGGUGCAGAAAGGGUUGGUGUUGGAGCCUUCAGCCCUGCAGAUCAGGAGGACAAACCAGCUAUGUGAACAUCAUCUUCUUCAACCUGCAGCACAUCUGUAGUUGCAGGAGGGGUUGGUGUUGGAGCAUUCAGGAACACUGGAACACUCGAAAACAGAAACAGGAGGAGUUGGUGUUUGAGCCUUCAGCACUGCAGAUCAGAAAGUUUACGAUCCUCGGACAGACCAUUAUAUGUCGCACAUCUGUAUCUUCAGGAGGGGCUGGUGUUGGAGCCUGUUUCCUUAUCGCUUUAGGAUACUGAGAACAGACCUGCUAUGUGAACGCCACACUACAGUACCUCUUUAACCUGCAACACCAGCGGCAGGAGCGGUUGGUGUUGGAGCCUUCAGCCCUGCAGAUCAGGUAACUGAGGACAGACCUGCUAUGUGAACACAACACGCUGCAGUGCUUCUUUGACCUGCAACACAUCUGUACAGUAGGUGCAGGAGGGGUUGGUGUUGGAGCCUUCAGCCCUGCAGAUCAGGUAGGUAUCAUUAACACACACACACACACACACACUCUUCGUCACUCACUGGUUGUACAUGUAUGCCAUUUAACUUGUUUUCCUUAUCAAUAACACACACACGAACUCCAUCAUUCAAUGGUUGUUCAUGUGACAUAACUCUUAUUUCCUAAUCCCUCUAAGUUACUGAGGAGGACAGACCUGCUAUGUGAACAUCAUCUUCAACCUGCAGCACAUCUGUAGUUGCAGGAGGUAGUUGGUGUUGAAGCCUUCAGGAACACAGGAACACUCGGGAAUUCACAGGGGAGCUGGACAAAGGGUUUCUGUUGAAAUAGAAUGUUUAUACAAAAUAAAAUAGAACUAUUCAGAGACAACAUUCUCGUCACAAACGUUCCCCACUCUUUCCCGAAUUUAAACACACCUCUGUAUCAAACAGCAGGAGGAGUUGGUGUUGGAGCCUUCAGCCCUACAGAUCAGGUAACUGAGGACAGACCUGCUAUGUGAACAACACGCUGCAGUGCAUCUUUGAACUGCAACACAUCUGUAGCAGGAGGGGUUGGUGUUGGAGCUGUCAUGAACAAUUUGUUCCGGCUUGCGAAACGGGUGACGUAAUAAUGACGUUCCAAUCUCACUUUUAAUGUUUAUCAUAGAAUCCUGGCGUCGUUGCUAGGAUGGUUGCUAUAAGCACUCAGCUCAUGGAUGACAGAACUGUCAUUUACCUCAGGAGCUUCAGAGACCAGUCAUCGCAACAAACAAGUGCACCUACAAUAAGGAGAAGUACAGAGAGGGGUGUACCGAGUCGACCAAAAUAGCCAUCAAAAAGGCAGCGAAGAGCUACUGUCUUCAAGGCAAGCAGAUCAGGUUACUGAGGACAGACCUGCUAUGUGAACAUCAUGCUGCAGUGCCUGUUUAACCUGCAACACAUCUGUAGGUGUUCGAACCUUCAGCACCUUGUAGCUGAGAGGCUACAAAAGGCAUGAGCUCACUUGCGGCUGCGGGAGAUGAGGCCAGCAGAGCUGAUGGAGCAGAAGUCUUGCAUUGUGCUGCACAACCAGGAACUUAAGGGGAACAUGCCGAAUGUGAGAACACACACAUUAGCCCAGCUUGAACUUGAGGCUGAAGAGAUGUAGGCAGCAGUGCUGAUGGAAGUACUGAAGUCCUGAGGAGGUUCCUGAAAAAGAGGC